rnacentral:rRNA from 1 species
AGAGUUUGAUCCUGGCUCAGGACGAACGCUGGCGGCGUGCUUAACACAUGCAAGUCGAACGGAGAUUCAGAUAAGCUUGCUUAGACGAAUCUUAGUGGCGGACGGGUGAGUAACGCGUGGGUAACCUACCCAUUAAGCCGGGACAACCCUUGGAAACGAGGGCUAAUACCGGAUACGCUUAAGAGCUGGCAUCAGCUUUUAAGGAAAGGCGGCCUCUGAAUAUGCUGCCGAUAAUGGAUGGACCCGCGUCUGAUUAGCUAGUUGGUGGGGUAACGGCCUACCAAGGCGACGAUCAGUAGCCGGCCUGAGAGGGUGAACGGCCACACUGGGACUGAGACACGGCCCAGACUCCUACGGGAGGCAGCAGUGGGGAAUCUUCCGCAAUGGACGAAAGUCUGACGGAGCAACGCCGCGUGUAUGAUGAAGGUCUUCGGAUUGUAAAGUACUGUUUUUAGGGAAGAACGAUCUUGUCAGGAAUAUGGGCAGGAUAUGACGGUACCUAAGGAGGAAGCCCCGGCUAACUACGUGCCAGCCGCCGCGGUAAUUCA